GCAGACAUACUGCAGUGGGACGUUGGUUUAACAUCGCAGUGUCGUUAAAUGAUCGCAUUCCAUUGAAGCCUAUUACCAAUAUUUAAAUUAUUACAUAAACUAUAAUGUGCGUUUCAGCUAGCGCAUUUUCCCCAGUUAUUUUACUUUAAGUUAAGCAUAACUGUCAGGUCUGUCAUGUCAUUAUUUAAAAUAAUAAACGUGCAGCUUUUAAACAGUUAAACUGUAUGUAGUAUACCCAGAUAGCAUCAUGGUAUUGUUUCAACGAUGAAUUAUAGUAUAGUACUAAAUUAUCAACGUUGAAACUGAAUUGAUUUUGGUCAGAUUUUCAAUAUUGAACAAUUGAUGGUGGCAAAACCUUGAUUCAAUGUUGAUAUAAAGUGAAAGAUUGGAGAUCGACGUUGUUUCAACCUUUUUGUCUGAUAUGGAAUCAAUGUCAUUUCAACAUAUGUGCGUUAUCGGGGUGUGACUUUAAACAGUAUUAUUACACGUAUAAUUAGAACAAAUGUACGCUAUAUAGUAAAUAAAUACAACCCCUAUUGUGAGUUAUAUAACCUAAAUGAAGGAAUGUGAAAUCAACACUUGUCUCUGCGACAUUGUGCCAGUGGGCGAAUGAGAUGCAUGUUUGCUCUCUGGGUGUUAAAAGACAUUGUUAUCAUAUCAGAAAACUGGAGAAAAAGAAGCAUCAUCGCUCCAGCCAUCUAUAUUUGAAGUUUAUAGUGGAAUGAUAUGGAUUUGCUCUGCUUAAGCCUCAGUUGGAGAGACAUCGAAGGGAGAGAAUAAAGCGAAGUCUGCAGAGUCUGAAAGCACCUCCUUCUGCGGGAGUCCCGGCAGCAGGAAACGAUAUGCAGUCGAAUGGAAAAAUCUGAAAUACUGCGGCACACGGUCCUCUUUCUGCGAAGCUCAGUUGACAGGGGGACGGAGGAGCACUUUCAGGAUGGGUUCUCAGCUUGCCUCCAGCGAGCUUGGCAGUUCUUACAGGACGAAGAUGAGGGACAACAAGCUCUACUCGCCAUCUUCUACAAUCGUCUUUCGCACACCCCAACCUGGGGUAUCGCAACCUGUCUCCUUUCACAUUCACAAGGGAGUAAGCCGAGCUUAAUGGCAGGUCAGUCGUACCUACAGGCAUCGUCUUCUCCUCAAAGGAAUUACCAUUCUGUCUAUUCCAGAAGGUUGCUGGCACAGCUAUAUCACAGAGUUCUUCAAGCCCAGCGAGAUGUUGCUUCUCUAUCCACACAUAACCAAACUCUGUGGAGACCAUGGCCUUAAGCCCCUCCCUGCAGGGAAAAAAAACAAUAAACAUUUUGAUGUUUAAUUAUCUAUGAGUCAGCUGAAAAAUAUCAGAAAAGAAACAUCAAUUAAUCUGAUUAUAUUGUAUAAUCUGUGUCAUGAUCUGUCUCUGUCAGUCCUGUUGUGUUCCUGUUUGGCCAGCAGAGGCCCCUGCGGUCCAUCCUGUUUAACCCCCGGUCAUUUUCACCUGUUCCCAGUUACAUGCCAUUCCUAGUGUUUGGUUUGUUAAUGACUCACACUGGUCCCUCAUCUGCUCCUCAGGAUCCAUGUAUAUAUGAACCUACUUGCUUUCUGUUUUCAGUGUUAGCACUGCAUGUCUGUUCUCUGCAGUGGUUAGUUAAUGGUUCCCGUUGUUGUCUUAUCCAAACUACAUCCCUGUUUUAGGUUUGCCCUGAACCCUUUUUAUGGUCCUUUUGUUUCUGUUUGAAUGUAUUUAGUUGUAUUUUGUUACUUCAA